rnacentral:lncRNA from 1 species
AAAAAUAUUAAAUGGAAUCACAAAAAUAAUUAAAAAUCAGAUUAUGAAACUAGAUUUUUCAAGAAAAUUUUUAGUGUGGUCUCAUAUUUUUGUGAUUCCAAAUAAAAUAGUUAUGAAUUUUUGAAAUAAAAAGGAAUAAAAGAAAAUAAAACAGAAAUUAGAAAAAGGAAAAAAACCAGGAGCGCUAGAUCCAUUUCAUUAAAUGACGUGGACACAUCAGACGGUCCAGAAGCGCGCUCCCACCAUGGUAUCGAGUC